CAGGAGCAGGGCUUCUGAUGCUGAGGGUGUCGGCGCUUUUAGGAAGACCUUUGGAUGUUUCCCAUGAGGAGCUGAGACGUGUCCUGCUGGUGUUUUUUACUGAAACCAUAAACAAUCAUCACAGAUCGACAGGUGUUCAAAUUCAGGAUGUUCAGACUUGAAGUUUCAGCUGAAUGACGUCAUCCAACCAGCUGUGCUGCAGUUCCAACAAACACGAUGCAAACUUGUGUUUUACUCAUGAAACGUCUGAACUUCAAAGGUGCUGACUGACAGAGCACUUAGAUCGUCCAAUCACAGGCUCCUAGCACAACCUAGGUCUCGACUGAACUCGAGAGGUGACCAGGCCUUUGCAACCGUGGCACCAAGACUCUGGAAUAACCUCCCUGUUCAUAUUCGUACUGCCGAGUCUAUCCAGUCUUUUAAGUCACGUCUUAAAACCUAUUAAUCAAUAAACUGGAGAUACGACAACAAAUACAGAACUAAAUUUGACCUUCAUUGUUUAAAUCUGGGUCAUCUCAGUCACUUUACUCUCAUUACUGUCCUAAAAUGUGCAGCAGUCUCAUGCUACUGUAGAAAAGAGAAGUCGAGUUUUGGACAUGUGUAAAUGCCAGCGGUGAGGAGUUGGUCCCUGCCUUUGUCCAUGCAGAGAGAUUAAGAUGUGGUGACAUGGUCUAUUUUACUGUGUUAGAAGUGAAAUGGUUUCUUCAUGUGUUACAGUUCUGAUAUAUGUGAAAGUCUUUAAAGCUCAAAUUAAGGUUGAUGCAGUUUUUACAUCUCUGGGUCACGUCCAUGUUGUGUUAAAAUGCCAGUUGCAUCAAAAAUCACUUGCUGUAUUGAAAUAUUAGAUACUUUACAGGAAAAACUGAAAUCAGUUGUUUGUUUUGAUUAGAGAUGGUGAGUCGUCGUUUACAGCAGGUUCAGUGCUGGUUCUGCUGCAGAGUACAUGAAAAUGAAACUAACAUGAAAUCCUGCAGUUUGCUUUCAGAAUGUGUUGAUGCUUCUUCAUCCAGGGUAAAAUAUUUAUCUAUAAUAUAAUCUACAUGUGUAAUCUCCUCUGAAUCCUCUGCUCUCUGUCCUGCUCCACGGGAUCACCAGAAAAAAGUGAGCGAGGAAACUGAACUGAAUGUUGGAGACGAUGAUGUCAUCAGCAUAUGUACAGUUUAUGUACAGAGAAAACUGCAGCAGGGCCAAUGUGCAUCCCUGUGACACCUUUAUCAGAACUCUUAAUCAGAUUUUUAAUUUGAUUCAUCAUAACCAAAACUUUGAAACAAUCCUAAUUUCUGUCACGCUUAAACAAACUUAUAAUGACAUUAAAUCUAAUACCUAACAUGUUUUUCAUGUAUU
ensembl:lncRNA